AACAUUCAUUGCUGUCGGUGGGUUUGCAUCCGAAUCAACUCGCUGAUCAAUGAAUGCAA
rnacentral:pre_miRNA from 1 species